rnacentral:rRNA from 1 species
UAGGGAAUAUUGGUCAAUGGACGGAAGUCUGAACCAGCCAUGCCGCGUGCAGGAAGACGGCCUUCUGGGUUGUAAACUGCUUUUGACAGGGAAGAAAAAUCUCUUGCGAGAGACACUGACGGUACCUGUAGAAUAAGCACCGGCUAACUCCGUGCCAGCAGCCGCGGUAAUACGGAGGGUGCAAGCGUUGUCCGGAUUUAUUGGGUUUAAAGGGUGCGUAGGCGGUAGAUUAAGUCAGAGGUGAAAGCCAACAGCUCAACUGUUGAACUGCCUUUGAUACUGGUUUACUUGAGUAUAGUUGAGGUAGGCGGAAUUUAUGGUGUAGCGGUGAAAUGCAUAGAUACCAUAAGGAACACCGAUAGCGAAGGCAGCUUACUAAACUAUCACUGACGCUGAGGCACGAAAGCAUGGGGAGCGAACAGGAUUAGAUACCCCCGUAGUCC